rnacentral:lncRNA from 1 species
CGCCGCUUGGUUCUCCGGGGACCUCGUUCAUUAAAAGUGAUGUACUCAAACAACCGAUUCUUAUUUCAGUAGCAGAAAAAUUACACAAGACACCUGCUCAGGUUGCUCUACGGUGGGGUCUACAGAUGGGUCAUAGCAUACUUCCCAAAAGUACAAGUGAAUCCCGGAUCAAAGAAAAUUUUGAGAUUUUUGACUGGUCAAUUCCUGAUGAUUUGUUCACUAAGAUCUCUUCUGAUAUCGAGCAGGUAUGGAUGCAUGCCAAAAGUAGUACAACUUGUUAUGUCUUGUUUUGUCUUGUCUUGUCUUGUCCUGUAUUGCAUAACAAAUGGGGUCUCAAGAACUUGUGUUGUUGUUUUUGCAGGCUAGGCUUCUGAGAGGCACUUCUUUUGUGGAUGAGACUCAUGGUCACUACAAGACACUCGAGGAACUAUGGGAUGGUGAAAUAUGAAUGUUGCAUGGUGUAGGAUUUUGCUUUCCAUGCUAUUCUACCUUACUCUUAACCUUUUAAGAUUUUCCUUAACCUUUCUUAAUGUUACGAGUGAAAUCUUAAACACUACUGGUGUGCAUUGUGGGAUGGAUGUUAUGUUUGUUUGUUAAUUUUCUUCCAUCUAUACAUUCCUAUUCCGGUGGUGAUUGUUAGUGUAUCCCACGUCGUCACGCUCGCUUAUGUCUUUAUAUAUGUUGGAGUUUUCUCUCUCUCUACUAAAGGGUUUUUUUUGGAAAGACAAUACUGGACUCCUCAUAUAUCUUACAAUGAUGUUGCAAGAAAUAGAUUUGCUUUUUCACCUUUUUUCUUUUCUUUCUAAUGUAUUCUUACUCAUUCUUAUUCUCAACAAUUUUAUGAAAAUUAACAUUUUACCCACCACCACCACCACCACCUCCAUCACUCAUCACUAUCGUCACCACCAUCACUUCAACCACAACUGCCACCACCACCAUUUAUUAUUUUUAUAAUUUAUAUAAUAUAUCUUUAGAUUUCGGAUGUUACCAAUGCUGGAGACUUUUUGGAUAUGAUAUUCAUUAUAGAACACCUCCUGUUGAAAGUUUGUCGUUUCAUCUUGAAGACAAACAACCUAUUGUGUUUAAACUAUUCCAACGUGUUACUAAUGUUGUUUUUAAACCCAUUAUUGCUGCUUUUCAUGUAACACCCAAAAUCAGAAAGGUCAAGAAAGAAAAGAAAACCCUAAGUUAAAGGGGUCGACUCGUCGAGUCCAAGGAGGAACUCGAUGAGUCGGAGCGGGAUCCAGGGGAUCGAGUAAGUGACCAACUCGGCGAGUCGGCUCGUGGACUCGGCGAGUUGGAUCUGAAGAGGAAAACCUUAAAUUCGGGACUUUGGGUGCUAUUUAAACUCCUUAUUCUCUCCAUUAGGGUUCCUUAGAGCCUCCUUUACACAGAAUACGAUCCCUAAGCCCCAUUGUUACACAUUCAAGCUUCCAAGCCAUUUUUGGGUGAUUUGAAGGAAAGAAGGAGGAGGGAAAUCAUUGGAGCUUCAAGGUUUGGUCUUAGAUCCAGAGUUUGUGGAAUCUUUCAGAGUUAUUGAAGGUACUAAGCCGUUUCCUUCAUUUAGAUCUAUUCUAGUUAUGAGUGUUGGGGCUUUUAAGCCAUGUUUAGAUAUCCAUUUGAGUUAGAAGCCAGAUCUGAAGUUGCUACUUCAGAUCUAAGCACAUUUUGGCAUUGUGAAACAUAAAGUAACUGUCCUUGAGUUGAUUAUAGAGCCUCUUUGCCUUAAACCCUAGUUUAUGGUGUGUUUGGCCUAGAUAUCCUUCUCUACAUGUAAAAUUUACAACUUUACGUGAGUAAUAGGCUUGGGAAGAGUAGAUCUACAGUUUGGAGUCCAAGCAUGACUCAAAAAGCUUCUGCAUGUAUGAAGAACUGAAUGGACUCGACGAGUCCUUUGAGUGGACUCGGCGAGUAGCAUGAAGAUUAGGAGGAACUCGACGAGUGGGAUGAACAACUCGUCGAGUCGGAUGAAGAUUGCCGUAGACUCGGCGAGUCAAGUCGUGAAACCCCGAACCCCUUCGAGUUAGGACUCAGAUCAGUGAGUUGAGUGGAGACUCAGUGAGUUGGACAGGAUAGGACUCGAAAAUCAGUAGACUCGACGAGUCAGGGGAUGACUCGGCGAGUCGAGUCGCGAAUGGAAGGAUUCUGAGCCUAGGAACUCAGCGAGUCAGCAGGCAAACUCGGCGAGUAGAGUUGACCUGGAAGGUUGAUUUUGACCAAGACUUUGACUUUGACCAGAGUUGACUUAGUUGACUUUCGGAGGACAGUUAGACUAAGUGUUGCAUUGUUAUUGGUAGCUCGGGGAGCUAGUGGAGCAGGAGUUCAGAGAGUUGUCGGGCAGCAGCUAGAGGGGGUUAUCAGCAAGGUCAGCAAGUGUGGGUGAGUUUCCCUUUUGUGUGAAUGGGUCUACGGCCACAAUGCCGGCCCAUGUAGUUAUGAGUAGGAAGACCCGGGGGUUAGCCAUAGGUACAAUAUGCUAGUAUGAUAUUCAGGACGAGGUCCAGUGUAGCGGGCGGGUGCCCAAGGAAUGGUUUGCAUGAUAGUUAUACUUGUUGUCUGGUGGNGGUAGGGGGUGAGUGUGGGUGAGGUCCCGUAUCUCACUAUUAGCAAAGUAUGGUUGGGGUUCCAUAUCUCAUCAGUAGCCAAGCAAGGGCGAGGCCCAAGUUAGGAAAGGAGUGAGUGUGGUCCGGGCCCGUAUCUCACUAUCAGUAGGAGUGUGGACGGGGUUCCAUGACUCAUCAGUUGCAGGACAUGGGCGAGGCCUUUAGAACAGGAUUCGGUAGUAUAUGUUAGCGUAUGUGUGGCGAUAUGUUUAUGUGUUAGUAUAUGUUGGCGGGCGAGGCCCAGUGACAGGCGAGGCCUAAGUAAAGCAGACCUGUAUCCGAGCGGGGCUCGAAGCCAGGCGGGGCCUGGAGCGGCGGGGCCGUUGUAGCGGGCGAGGCCCAGAAUAACGGGCGUGUUGCCCGGUAUGUGCAGUAUGUGGCUAUGCAUGGUAUGUGGUAGGUUGGGGAACUCACUAAGCUUCGUGCUUAUGGUUUUCAAUUUUGGUUUCAGGUACUUCCGGUAGCGGAGGGAAGAGCUCGGGGUGAUCGCAUGGCACACACCAUAGCUUAGACAGUCUGGGACGUUUUACUCUGAUAAUGAACAUAUGUUUUUGGAAAUUAAUAUUCUGACUAUGUUAUGGAUUGAUAAUUAUGUUUUAAGCAAUGUUUCAUAAACGAAAUUUUUAAUCUUGAAUUUUGGGACGUUACAUUUCAAUUUUGGCUUGAAUGGAAUGUAACACCUAUGAUGAAAAGGCACGAAAAUUGUCAUAUGUUGAAGUCCCAAGUCAAUAUGUUUGGAAUAAAUCAGAUAAAGUACGGACAAGAAGAAAAACAAAGACAAAGUCACUUAGUAGAAUUAAUCACGUGUCUCCCAAGUCUGGUGAUAUUUAUUACUUACACAUUUUGCUUAAUAAAGUAAAGGGUCCUACUUGCUAUGAAGAUAUCAGGACAGUUAACGAUACCAUUUAUAAACCGUAUAAAGAUGCUUGCUACACUCUUGGUCUAUUAGACGAUAAUAAAGAGUACAUAUCUUUUAUACACGAAACACAUCAUUGGGCCACUACCACAUUCUGCAGGUCUCUAUUUGUUAUGUUGAUUACAUCCGAUAGCCUAUCCCAUCUUCAUCAUGUUUUUAAAGAGACCUAUAAUUGUCUUUCUGAUGAUGUCGUUCACAUUAGUGAACAAGAAAUCGGCGUAACAGAUACAUUUUCAAAUAAUUUAACCCAUUUACACUAAAAACAUUCUAAAAUUAAUUGAUAUUAAAAAUAAAUAAUUUCAUAAUUUUUUUUUGUCUUUUCUGGCUUGAAGUUAAAACCGGAAGCAAUUUUCCACCUAACAUUGUCAUACAUUGAGAAAUCUUUAUCGAGUUGUGGACCGAGUUUGAAGCAAAUACCCAAUAUGUCGUUACCUUAUCACAAAUAUAUUCAAGAUUCUUGCAAUAUGUUAAUUCAAGAUGAGCUUAAUUAUGAUCCGUUCGAUCUUGAAGUCGAACAUCAACAACUGCAUUCCAAAUUAAAUGUCGAGCAAAAAAAGGUUUAUGAUAAAAUUAUGAAUGUUGUUAACAACAAAAAAGGUGGUGUCUUUUUCUUGUAUGGUUACGAUACAGGAGAAACAAGAAAACAUUUGUUUGGAAGACACUGUCUACUGCUAUUAGAUCUAAAGGUGAAAUUGUUAUCAACGUUGCUUUAAGAGGAAUUGUAGCACUCUUGCUCUCUGGUGGUAGGACAACGCAUUCAAGAUUUCAUAUACUAAUCAACUUGAAUGAGGAUUCAUUUUGUUCUAUUACAGCAAGUAACGAUGUAGCUGAAUUGUUGAAUAAAGCUAGACUUGUCAUAUGGGAUGAAGCCCCGAUGAUGCAUCGUCAUUGUUUCGAAGCAGUUGAUAGGACACUUAGAGACGUUAUACUUUCAUCAGACAAGAAUAAACCAUUUGGAGGCAAGACCAUUGUAUUUGGAGGUAACUUUCGACAGAUUCUUCCAGUAAUACAAAGAGGAAAUCAUUCAAAUAUUGUCCAGGCAUCAUUGCAUUCAUCAAGAUUAUGGCGUGAAUGUAUAGUUUUACGUUUGAAUGUAAACAUGAGGCUUCAGGUCGGCUAUCCAAGUAAUGAUUUUGAAGAGAAAAAAUCAUUUGUUGAAUGGAUUCUUAAAAUUGGUGAAGGUACUAUUAGUGGCUCUAAUGAUUGUGAAGUUGAAGUUGAAUUUCCAGAAGAUGUUAUCGUUCCCUCUACGGGUGACCAUAUUCAUUCAAUUGUAUCCACCAUUUAUUCAUCAUUUCAGAACCAUCUUGAUGAUCCAUCAUAUUUUCAAGAUAAAACUAUUUCGGUCCCUACAAACGAAGAAGUCGAUGUCAUCAAUGAGUACAUGUUAGAGUUGAUGAAAGAUGAAGGAAAAACGUAUCUGAGUUCAGAUUCUUUAAGUGAGACUGAGGCACAAGAUUCUUUUGAGGAAUCGGUAUACUCUCUAGAUGUGUUGAAUGGUUUUAAGGCUUCUAGAAUUCCCAACCAUAAACUUAUACUAAAAAAAGGUUUUAUGCACAUGUUACUUCGUAAUAUCGACCAAACCAAAGGACUAUGCAAUGGUACUAGAUUACAGAUUGUAAGACUUGGAAGACACAUUAUUGAAGCCCGAAUCAUAUCUUGCAUAUUUUUCAAUGAGACUAAUUAUAUAUUUCGCAUGAAAUUAACACCAUCUGAUAAAAAAAUCCAUUCCAUUUUCAGCGGAGGCAAUUCCCUAUAGCUGUUUGUUUCACAAUAAUCAUUAACAAAAGUCAAGGACAAUCAUUAUCAUAUGUUGGAUUGUACUUGCGUAGACCUGUUUUCACUCAUGGUCAGUUAUAUGUAGCUGUUUCUUGUGUCACAAGUAAAAAAGGUUUGUAGGUACUCAUGUGACGUGGAAGGUCGUUCAACUAAUAAAACAAAAAAAUGUUGUCUACAAAGAGGUCACUCAACAAUUAUAGAUAUUUAUCAAUUUCGAUGUAUCUUCUAUAUAUUUUAAUAACACAAAUAGCCAUAGUUUUUUUCUUUAAUCAUUAAACAUUUGUAUGUUUUUUAUGCGUUCCCCGCAUUUAGCGCGAGUUAUAAUCUAGUUUAUAUACAUAUUACCUUUUUUUAGUUUUAGUUUUUUGACUUUUUAUUUGAUUUAUAAUAAUUAAUACAAGAGUUAAUAGACUUCUUUAAGUUUUAACAAAUGUGUCUUUGAUGAAGUUUCACAAAUGGUUCUUAGAUGAAGUUUCACAAAAUGAUAGAAAUUGUCCUUAUCAAAAACUAUUUCAACUUAACGGAUCCAUCAAACGGACAUCCAUUAGAUGGACCACUGGUGUGCAAGGUUUGCUCUAAAAGACCAUUCGUCCAAAAAAGAUUUUAUAGCUAUUAUUUUAGAGAAAAAAAUGAAACCAUAAGGACCAUUUGUGAAAUUUUGUCUUUUACAUAGAUCAUUGACAUAUUAUCAACUUUUUGAAAGUUGGACUGACAUUGUGAAUUUGACCAAAACACAAGGACCAUUACUUCAAUCUACUCUUGGUUUUUGAAGCAAAUAAAUUCAAUUUUCUUUCCUUUCAUAUCAAUCAAUUAAAGUGAUUUAAUACCAAAACCAAUCGACCCUAAACAUAAGUACAUAACAAGUCGAAUUCACUUGAAUUUCUUCUUCUAAAGUAGGCUUAAAAUGAGCUAGAACCAAAAGAGAUGAUCUAUAUGUAUUAGUAUAUGUGUUUACUUCACGAACCAGAAGAGAGAAUCCGUAUUUGUUUCCUCAAGAUCCAUGAGGUUUCCUCAUCCAAUUCCGGCCUUUAAGAUUGAUAAAGUUGAAUAAAACAAAAUUGACAUGUGAAACAGAACAUCGACAUUUGCAGGUUUCCAUGUCUGAAAACAAUUUGUUUUUUAGGUUUUAUCUUGAUUAUUUUCUUUUUCAGGGACGAGGUUUAUGUAAUGGAGAAGAAGGCCUUGAAUAUGUCGACCGCAAUUCUCUACAAUGCGUUUGAAAUUGGGCUUGGGUUAUAUUCUCAAAGAGAUGGAAUUUUUGGUGUUUUCAUUUUUAGUGUCAAAUUGUCCCCUUUCUUUCCCUUGGAUCACUUUUGCCAGUUGUCUGCUGCUGGCUUCUUUAUUUUCAUAAAAAUAUGCUGUCCGUUUUAGAAAAGAAAAACAUUUAAAACUUGAAUUCUUUAAAGAAUGGGACCAAAAUUAUGGGUCCAAAGUCAACAAUCCAAACAUCUAACUGGAAAUAUGGAAAUAUUGGAGCUUUAAAAAACGGCAUCCGGCCAUAAAAGAGCCUAAAAUUAAGAGUGCUGUUAAUCCAUAGUCUUCUCUUCUUCCUCACUCCUACAAAAAAAAAUACAACCCUAUUCUCAACAUUUGUUCAAUCGCAAGAAAAUGUCGAAUGCCAUUCAAUUCUUUGAACUGUUUAACAAAACCAAGAUUCCUUCUGUAGGUCUCGGCACAUGGCAAUCGGAGCCUGGUCUUGUUGGUGAUGCUGUUACUGCUGCUAUUAAGGUUACCCUCCCUCCCUCAUAGCUGUUCUUACUCUCUGUCGAUUCGUAUCCUGUAAUGAAAAAAUCACUUUCAGUAAUGAUCGUAUAUUCUAUUCAUGUUUUGUGUUCUAACAUGUGUUUGUCGCCCCUUUACGUCAUUACAACAAAUACAUUUAGCACAAUUUAAUAAAGUUAACCAGGGUCAGUAAGGGUUUCGACUUCGGAUAUUCAAAUUCAAAUUUAGCUAUCUACCAAUUAGCAAUCGAUACCUAAAAUUGGCGACAUGAUGCACACAUUUCCGUGUUUUAUGAAGUCAUUUCUUAUGAAAUGUAUUUGAUAUAUAAUGUUUCAUAUGCAUGUAGAUGGGGUAUCGUCACAUUGAUUGUGCUCAAAUUUAUCGCAACGAAAGGGAGGUACGCAAUUACUUACUUUUGUUUAUUGGAUUUUCUUGUUCUCUGGUUGCUAAUUCUAUAAAAUGUCAUUGUAUAGAUUGUUAAAUUUUAUUUCUUGCAGAUUGGUUUCAUGUAAAUUUAUUUAUUUCAGAUUGGUUUAGUUUUGAAAAAGCUCUUUCAAGAUGAUGUGGUGAAACGAGAAGAUUUGUGGAUCACCUCUAAGCUCUGGUUUGCCACAUUCCAUGGAAUCUAGAUUCUUCUCAUAUCAUAACAUGUUUCCACACACACACACACACACACAGAUCCUUCCAAGUUUCAGUUAACAAGCUAUAAUGAUUUGCAGGUGUUCUGAUCAUGCACCAGAAGAUGUACCAGUUGCAUUAGACCGAACACUGAAUGAUUUGCAGCUUGACUAUAUCGACUUAUACCUUGUAUGUAUGCAUUACAUAAAAAAAUUGUAUAUCUUUUUGUAUAUAUGAUUGAUUCAAACAAUGAAUUUUUAUUUUUAUUUAUCUUGAAGAUACAUUGGCCUGUUAGGCUGAAGAAGGGAUCUGUUGGAUUAAAGCCUGAGAAUCUUGCUCCAGUAGAUAUUCCAAACACAUGGAAAGCAAUGGAGAAACUUUAUGACUCUGGGAAGGCGAAAGCAAUUGGUGUUAGCAAUUUUUCCACCAAGAAAUUGGGUGAUUUGUUGGAUGUUGCACGUGUUCCACCUGCUGUCAACCAGGUGGAAUGUCAUCCUUCAUGGAAGCAAACAAAACUAAGAGACUUUUGCAAAUCCAAAGGCGUUCACUUAUCUGUGAGCUAACACAUUGCCAUAAUAAACAAAAACAUUGAUUUUCAAAAAAUAACCAAAAAAGUAGUAUAUUUUAAUAAUUGGCAUACGAUAUGAUUUUGUAUACUUUUUGCAGGGAUAUUCGCCGCUUGGUUCUCCGGGGACCUCGUUCAUUAAAAGUGAUGUACUCAAACAACCGAUUCUUAUUUCAGUAGCAGAAAAAUUACACAAGACACCUGCUCAGGUUGCUCUACGGUGGGGUCUACAGAUGGGUCAUAGCAUACUUCCCAAAAGUACAAGUGAAUCCCGGAUCAAAGAAAAUUUUGAGAUUUUUGACUGGUCAAUUCCUGAUGAUUUGUUCACUAAGAUCUCUUCUGAUAUCGAGCAGGUAUGGAUGCAUGCCAAAAGCAGUACAACCUGUUAUUUCUUGUCCUGUACUGCAUAACAAAUGGGGUCUCGUGAACUUGCGUUGUUGUUUUUGCAGGCUAGGCUUCUGAGAGGUACUUAUUUUGUUGAUGAGACUCAUGGUCACUACAAGACAGUCGAGGAACUAUGGGAUGGUGAAAUAUGAAUGCUGCCUGGUGUAGGAUUUUGCUUUCCAUGCUAUUCUACUUUACUCUUUACCUUUUAAGAUUUUCCUUAACCUUUCUUAAUGUGACGAGUGAAAUCUUAAACACUACUGUUGUGCAUUGUGGGAUGGAUGUUAUGUUUGAUUGUUAAUUUUCUUCUAUCUAUACAUUCCUAUUCCGGUGGUGAUUGUUAGUGUAUCCCACGUCGUCACGCUCGCUUAUGUGUUUAUAUGUGUUGAAGUUUCCUCUUUCUCUACUAAAGGGUUCUUUUGGAAAGACAAUACUGGACUCCACCUAUAUCUUACAUUGAUGUUGAAAGAAAUAGAUUUGCUCUUUCAC